UUCAAAUGUAAAUAAUAAUUAUUCGUUAAUAUUUUGUUAAUUUUUAUUUAAUUUAUUAAUUAUUUAAUUUUUUUACAUUUUUUUUACAUUUUUUUACCUUAUAUACAAUAUGUUUAUUAUUCACUAUCGUGUGCACUGUGCAGUUACAAAUUACAAAUUUAAACAGUUCACCUUAAAUUUUCGUCAAAUGUAUCUACAAAGAAUUAAAAUCAUCGCAAAUCCAAGUUAAACUUAAUAUGCCAUUUACAAGUUACAACAAUCACAUUCAAACCUUCAUAACUCAAAUCAUUAAGCAAGAUACAGUAACUGGUGUAUGCAUGUACCCAAGCCAUGUAGGAGAUUAUUCUGUUUGGAAAAACUUCUUCUGAAAAAACUGUUUCCACUAACAGUUCCAGAUGGCGGUUUACGAGUAAUGACCAAAAUAGGCAUCUAGCUUCAACUUCUGUGUUCACCCUUGAAAGAACGUCAUUAAGCUAUACCACAUAGAGUUGUAAAUACCGUUUCCGGAUAUAUGCCGGUGUAUUUAUUUAUAUAUAAUAAUAUUAUGUUAUUCUGUAAUCCGUGACAAGUGCCAUACUGUGCCACUGUGGUUAAGGCACAACUAAAUAAAUUGGGUGCCAUGAGUAGGGAUUUAAAUUCUGCCUUAUUAAUAUUAACACCUUAAUAAUAAUUAAUGACAUUAAAACGUUGCACCUACCUAUACUCAAGGACAAGGCCCUAAUAUUAUAUAUUAUAUAUAUAAAAAAUGAAAAAUAGAUUAUAAUUAUAAUAGAAUAUAUGUAGGUUCUAGAUGUCUCGUUCACAAAAAUCCACGCUGUUUCUGACACUUGAUAUACAAAAAAUUCCUAUAUUAUAAAACUAAAUUACAAAUUACAAAAUCUAAUAAAUAGAUAUUACAAAUAAAAUAUUGAAAAAACAAACAAACAAUUUUGUAUUUUUUGAAGUUAAUAUUUUUACUGUAAUUGAAUUCUUCUUUAGGGGAUUGAAAUUUUUCUUAUUAAAAGAUACAAUAAAAUAGAAUAAGAAACGGUUAAAAUGUAAUUUAAGAAACAAAUUUUCAUUUUCAAUGUGCUAAAAUAAAAUUUGCCUGGUUGGUUGAUUGAAUUUAUGUUUAAAUAUUUACCCGACUAAAAGAUUAAAUAUCAUAUCACAUCAGUACAUCACUGUCCAGCAAGUUUCAAACCAUAUUACUCUAUUGAUAAAUACCUGACCUUUGAUUACUAAACAUGGUUUGUUAGUUUAAAAUAAAUAAAAAAUUAAACUAAAUAGAUACUUGGUGUGUAGAUAAUUGGGACUAAUAUUAAUUAUUAUUUCUUUUUACUUAACUCCAUAUAAGAUGUAGAUGAUUUUUAUUUACUGUGUUUUUAAUGUGUCAACAAACUAAUUUUAUAUUAUUUAAGUCAAAUAUGAUGUAUAAAAACCAAAAAAUAGAAAUAGUGACUUCUUGUAUACUAUUUAUUAUUUAGAUUCUUAUAAUAAAUUAUUUUGUAUUCAUUUAAUUAAUUUUGUAUAAUUAUGAUAAGAAACAACUCGCAUUAGACUAAUGAUUCAAUUAAAUAAACUCGUCAGUGGUGGUCACGAACAAAUAAAUUAUGAUUCUUAUGAUAAAAUGAUUCACUGUACUGUCUGAACCAGUUCAUUUAUUUGAAAAAAACGAAUCAGUUAAUUAAAGACAACUUGUCACAUCUCUACAGUACUCAACAGUGUAUUCUUCACUUCAUACUUCUUAAGUUAUAUUUGUCUAUUUAAUGUAUAUUUGAAUGUAUUUUUUUUUUUGUUUCUAUUUAUUGAUAAACUUAGACGAAUAUUAUAUUUAUAUUUUAAAUUUCAGCUAUAUAAUUUUUUUUAGUACAUAUAUAAAAUCUUAGUUUUAUAAUUUACACAUUACUUAUGUUUGUAUCUUAUGUAACUAUGUACCUUAUACAUAAAAUAUAUAUAGAAUUUA